ncrna:unclassified sequences c4-2 RNA
UACUGCGCCGAGUGUGUAAGCGGAAACGCCCACAAAAGUUAGUUUGUGAACUUUGAACAACUCGUAGCGCAGUUUU